rnacentral:rRNA from 1 species
UCGAACGCGAAAGUUCCCUUCGGGGAGCGAGUAGAGUGGCGCACGGGUGAGUAACACGUAGGUAAUCUACCUUUGGAUUGGGAAUAACAACCGGAAACGGUUGCUAAUACCGAAUAAUGCAGCGGCACCUAAUGGUGACAGUUGUUAAAGCGGGGGAUCGCAAGACCUCGCGUCUAAAGAGGAGCCUGCGGCGGAUUAGCUAGUUGGUAAGGUAAUGGCUUACCAAGGCUAUGAUCCGUAGCCGGCCUGAGAGGGCGGUCGGCCACACUGACACUGACAUACGGGUCAGACUCCUACGGGAGGCAGCAGUCGGGAAUUUUGGGCAAUGGGCGAAAGCCUGACCCAGCAACGCCGCGUGAAGGAUGAAAUCCUUCGGGAUGUAAACUUCGCAAGAACGGGAAGAAUAAGUAAGAGCUAACAUCUCUUAUGAUGACGGUACUGUUUGUAAGCUCCGGCUAACUCCGUGCCAGCAGCCGCGGUAAUACGGGGGGAGCAAGCGUUGUUCGGAUUUACUGGGCGUAAAGGGCGCGUAGGCGGCCACCGCAAGUCGAUUGUGAAAUCUCCGGGCUUAACCCGGAAAGGUCAACCGAUACUGCGGGGCUAGAGUGCAGAAGGGGCAACUGGAAUUCUCGGUGUAGCGGUGAAAAUGCGUAGAUUUCGAGAGGAACACCUGCGGCGAAAGCGGGUUGCUGGGCUGACACUGACGCUUAAGUGCGAAAGCUAGGGGAGCGAACGGGAUUAGAUACCCCGGUAGUCCUAGCCUUAAACGAUGAAUGCUUGGUGUCUGGGG